UUAUUUAAGAAGAAACCUUGGAAAUACUAAAAAUCUUAGUACCUGGCAUUAUUUCCUCGCAACUUGUUCUUAAAUAAAAAUCUCAAAUGUCACCAGAAAUUAGUUAUGAACCUGUCAAUCUCUUUUUCACGGUUAAUGAACCUGAGGAUGGAGCUGAUUCAAUGAAAUGCCCAAUCAUAUUCAUCCAUGGUUUUUUUACAACUCAUCUUACGUGGAAUACAGUGAAACAUGGGAUAGCCAAUAAAACAAUGAGAAAGGUUUAUUCGUUAGACUUGAGGAAUCUUGGUCAAAGCGAAUACAGUGAAUAUUUCACUUUGAACCACAUUAUGGUGGACAUCGAGAAUUUCAUGAAAUCUCAGUGCAUAGAAAGAGCAAUAUUCGUUGCUUAUAGUGGUACAAGCAGACCUCUGGUGGCACUAGCACUAGAAAAAAGGUUCAUACAAUCUUUAUCUUUUAAAGCCUGAACUGGUCGAAAAGUUAGUUGUGGAAGACAUGACAGUCAUAGAUCCUGCAAACCACCCCGAAUUUACUUAGAAAAUGUUACUUUUCACUACAGCAUGUGACAGAUUUAUUUGAAAUGCUCGAGCUAAUAUAUCAGAAAAUGAUUUGCACAAAUGGGCUCUACCAUUGAUUAAGAAAAUUUAUCCCGAAGUAAGUGAGAGUUUUUCUGAUACGUUUACAAGAGAGUUUGAGAAAAGAUCAAUCAGGAAAGAUGACAUUGGAUAUGAACGUUGAUGCUCUCAUAGAUUUUUUUAAAAAUGUCCACCGAUUUAGCAUCAAUUUGUCGAACGAUCCAAAAUAUCUUGGAUGGUCUCUUUUUCUAUUUUUUGAAAAGUCACCAGUAAAAAUAGAAGAAAAUAAAGAAUCAACAUUGAAGCAUUUUCCUAACGAUCAGUUUUACGUAUUUAAAGGAGGAUUUCAUACUUUCCACGUGGAAUUUCCAGAAUUAUUCACGAACGUGGUAUCAAAGUUCAUUGAAGAAUAGAACUUUUC